CAGACCGUCCUGGACAUGGGCUUCAGGUGUUGUAUUCCUCUUGUCAAGCCACUCCUGAACAAUGUCAGAAGCGUCUUAUCUGGGCUAAAGAAAAACAGACCUAGUCUGUUGCUCAGUGGUCCAAAGUCCUCUUCUCAUGAGAGCAACUUUUGCAUCUCAUUUGGAAACCAAGGACCCAGUCUGGAGGAAGAAUGGAGAGGCACACACUGCAAGAUGCUUGAAGUCCAGUGUGAAGUUUCCAGUCUGAUUUGGGGAGCCAUGUAGUCUGCUGGCGUUGGUCCACUGUGCUUAAAGUCCAGUGUCAACACAGCAGUCUACCAGGAGAUUUAGGAGCACUUCAGGCUUCCUUC